AUUUAAAAGGUUCUCUGCAACUUUGAGAGAGAAACAAACAUCCAUCCCCAGCAGAUGCUCAACACAGCCUUGUCCAAGCCAGAGAGGAAUAACAUGGCCGGCCAGGAGGUGCACUUUACACAACCCCUCUCUGUUCAGGGUGCAACACACCUGCUCAGAUAUCACCGUUACACAUACCUCAGUCUUGUUGGCCAUGGAGAAGACAAACUCAGCUUUCGCACUUGUGACCAUAAGAAAUUUGAGGUGUGCGCGGUUGCCAAUGUAUGAAUGUGGGAUAUUGAUACACACACAUGCAGGCCUGAAAAUAAGCCAAGAGACAAAAGUCAGGACACAAGUCUUUGCUGCUUAUCCACAACACACUUGCACAUAGGUCAGCACUACACCCAUUUCGAUGUUGAUUCAGGGAGCUGCAAGCAGCAGGAAGAACCCCUGAUGCAGUAGGAAGAACCCUGAUGCAGUAGGAAGAACCCUGAUGCAGUAGGAAGAACCCUGAUGCAGUAAGAAGAACCCUGAUGCAGUAGGAAGAACCCUGAUGCAGUAAGAAGAACCCUGAUGCAGUAAGGUGAAGGACGAAAGAUGCAGACUGCAGACACCCACUGGCCACCAGUGUGAUCCUCACUUCAGCCUAUGGAGGUGACCUGUGGAGCCAGUGUGCAGCCGUUCCCAGAAGGCAUCAGCAAGGCUAUUACCGACCAACUAAGCCACGCCGUGCUCCGAUUAGCCGCUUGGGGUUUGCAACAUAAUCACCUUGGGAGAAAGUGCUCUCUCUCUUUCUUUCUUUCUCUCUUUCUCUCACAUCUCUACAUCUCUCCCUCACUCACUCUCCCUCCUGUGCUUUCUCUCUCUCUCUCUCUCCCACUCUCCCUAGGUGCAAACACUCUCUCUCUCUCUCUCUCCCCCUGACACUUUUCUUCACCUCACCGUGUCUGACUCACACCUCCAUUCAGAUUCAAAUUUAUGCCAUUCAAAUUUAAGUGCUACACUUUAAAAUCAGCCAGUCACCCACCAGACAUGCUUCUCCUAUGAGCAAACCUGAGGCAACACAGCUGGGGAGUGCAACUCCAAUGCAGGUAAGAAAGACAAAAGCCCCCACCCUCCCAGUUCAAGCACCUUGUAGCUGUAAACACUGGAGAGAAGCCCAGCAGCCUGAUAAAAAAAUCAGGGGUUCUGAGACUGGUCUCUGGGGCACUCCACCCUGCUGCCUUCUGAAGAGCACUGAUUAAUCCUGACAGCGGCGUUCUGACGUAUGCGGUCCAGAAUGGGUUGUUUUCACCCCCCUGCUCCCUCUCCGUGGCAAUGCUUUUGACAACGGGAGCCAAUGGCACGGAAUACCAUGACCAGGCCGCGCCCCUAAUUCCCUCUCAUUAGCAGUAAUUAAGCCCUGUCUUAGGAGCUGGGUUUGGAUCCAAACAGCCUUAACACCCUCUGCUGCUCACAGAGGAGCAGAGCCCUCUCUGAGGAAACGGUCGGCUGAAAACAGGAACCUGACACACUUGUUUAGACCACAGACAGAGAGGAAGAGCGAGACUAAGAGAGAAAGGAGAGAGAGACAGACAGAGAGAGAGAGAGAGAUGAGAAAUGAACAUACGUCGGUUAUUUUUAUGACAACCCAGGUCUCUCUCCACAGGUAGCUGAGCGGUUCCAGCAGGCUGCUCCGCUACCUGGCGCUAAGCUUUGUAAUGUUUCGCUGCACCAGGGGAGGUAAUUAGACGUGAGUAGCGGGAACAGCGGCAGUCUAAUGAGAUGAUCCAGAACGACAAGAAGAGCUGGAGGUAUAGCGCUCGCAACAGAAGGAGCCCCCAGAGCCGCCAUCGGCUCCCCGCCCCAAAGCUCAGGUGCACUGGCCUCCUUCUCCAACACCACAGCGGGAAGCUAGAGAUCCCUUAAGGCCUUGAGUGCGGCACACUAUGCUGUCCGACAUUCGGUUGCAUUAGAUUCCAUUGUUUUCAAUACAACAACCUCCACACUCUACCCCUGAACCCUUCCGUCUCCACUGUGGAGCUUAGGCUACGAUUCAGUUCUAUUUUUGUCACUACUGUUUACUACUUCACCAAGGUCCAACUACUCUUAUAAAUCUGUGUUUGUACUACCUCUGUAUGAACUGAAGUUGUAAAAGAAGUUUCAGUGCCACAAGAUCAAUGUGAAGUCAUGUCAAAUAUCAGAUGAAUGUUUUUCUUCAGCUCUGUGAGGCAAAUCUAUAUCUACUUACAGCGAAAUCUACUAACAUAUUGGACACUCCAGAGAGGGACUGCUGAGUACUGAGAUAGGUAACAUUGUACAUCCAAUCCUGCACACAAGCUGGUUGCUGAAGAAACCUUAUCUGUAGAAUUGGAUUUAGCUUCACUUGUAUUUAUUGCUAAGAUAGAAAAUCAUAGGAUCGAUGUGAGUCCAUGGAAGAUUUCGACAAGCCAGGAAAAUAAAAUUCCUUGUCAAUCGUUAAGUGCAUUGCAGCAACAUCCUGUGGUUUAUGUCUACAUUUAGUACUAGCACACGUGCCAGAAAUCUAGGUAAUAUUCUUUUGAUUGUGGAAAAAUCCAAGUAUAUCCUCUCAGUGCGAGCCGUGAGCCAAAGCAGGCUUGGCAACACACACUCAGGUGUAUUUCAAGUGUGUAAUCACUUCAAAUAUUGCUCGUCCCCUGGGGAGUCUGUUUUUCAGAUGAUGCCAGAACGGAAACCAAAACACAUUGCAUGUGCCAAAUUCCCCUUAUAACAUUGUAAAUGAAACUUUAUUUGUUUUGAGCAAGUACUUCAAACAUAUUACCAAACCAGGUGUGAGUUAGGCUAAAUGAGGAUUUACAUGCACUGCGCAGGCACACACACACACAGAGAGAGAGAUAGAGAGAGAAAGAAGGAAAGAAAAAAGAAAAGGAAGAAAGAGAGAAUGCUCCCUCUGUACUUCUUCGCUCUCUAUAACAGAGGCAUGAUGGGAAAUGUCUAUCAGGAAACACUGGUCUGCCGCCAUGGUGAGAGGGACAUGAAGGAUGAUGUUCCAGAAGUGGGCCGUAACCAGGCAACUGUGGCGGGGAGAGGAGGCCAGGCCGGGGCCUGACGUUGGGCACUCUUUGGCUCCCCCUCUCCAGCGUCCCUGUCUGCUGGGCACCGUCACUGGCAUUUUCACGCUCUACCAGCUCUGCCAUGUGCCAGAGAGAGUGGGCAGCCGGGGCUUAUGGGAAUACUGGCACGGGGACUCAACUGAAGCGGUGGACAGUCGGCUGAUGCUAUUGCUUCAUCUCUUGCACCAGUAUGAGUCCUGUUGUGUUUCUCUGUAGCAAAGCGGGUUUAGCAAGGUGCUCACAACAGCAAUGCCAUGGAUUUGCUAUAAUUGUUAUUGUGCACUGGAAGUCACUUUUGGACACAUCUGCUUAAUGUAUAAAUAAAUGUGAAAUGUAAAUGUUUUUAUGUAUGUGAACAAUUUGCAUGUGUGUGUGUGUGUGGAGGGGUCUUCUCUGUGUCUCUGAAUAUCCACAUGACUCUGACGCAGGCAUGCCAAAUGUAUGCGCCAUAUCAGAGAUCCGUGUGUUCUCUGGGGACGAAGGGUCGAAUUACUGGAGGAGCAGAUGGAUAAAAGAACAUAAAAAUAUUCUCUUCAUGUGCCCAACAAUGUAAAA